AUUGAACGCUGGCGGCAUGCCUUACACAUGCAAGUCGAACGGCAGCGGGCCUUCGGGUGCCGGCGAGUGGCGAACGGGUGAGUAAUGCAUCGGAACGUGCCAUUGAGUGGGGGAUAACGUAGCGAAAGUUACGCUAAUACCGCAUAUUCUGUGAGCAGGAAAGCAGGGGACCGCAAGGCCUUGCGCUCUUUGAGCGGCCGAUGUCAGAUUAGCUAGUUGGUGAGGUAAAGGCUUACCAAGGCGACGAUCUGUAGCGGGUCUGAGAGGAUGAUCCGCCACACUGGAACUGAGACACGGUCCAGACUCCUACGGGAGGCAGCAGUGGGGAAUUUUGGACAAUGGGCGCAAGCCUGAUCCAGCCAUGCCGCGUGAGUGAAGAAGGCCUUCGGUUGUAAA
rnacentral:rRNA from 1 species